rnacentral:rRNA from 1 species
AAAACACUAACGAACGCUGGCGGCAGGCUUAACACAUGCAAGUCGAGCGCCCCGCAAGGGGAGCGGCAGACGGGUGAGUAACGCGUGGGAACGUACCUUUUGGUUCGGAACAACUGAGGGAAACUUCAGCUAAUACCGAAUAAGCCCUUACGGGGAAAGAUUUAUCGCCGAAAGAUCGGCCCGCGUCUGAUUAGCUUGUUGGUGAGGUAACGGCUCACCAAGGCGACGAUCAGUAGCUGGUCUGAGAGGAUGAUCAGCCACAUUGGGACUGAGACACGGCCCAA